GGAUUANUACCCCAUAGUAUCAUUGAGCUGCAUGGUUUAAUGAUUAAAGAUUCAUCGGUAUAGGAUGGGCAUGCGUCUGAUUAGCUAGUUGGCGGUGUAACGGACCACCAAGGCUACGAUCAGUAGGGGUUCUGAGAGGAAGGUCCCCCACACUGGCACUGAGAUACGGGCCAGACUCCUACGGGAGGCAGCAGUAGGGAAUAUUGGGCAAUGGACGAGAGUCUGACCCAGCCAUGCCGCGUGCAGGAAGACGGCGUUCUGCGUUGUAAACUGCUUUUAUCUGGGAAGAAAAUGCCNUUGCGAGGGAAAUUGCCGGUACCAGAUGAAUAAGCACCGGCUAACUCCGUGCCAGCAGCCGCGGUAAUACGGAGGGUGCAAGCGUUGUCCGGAUUUAUUGGGUUUAAAGGGUGCGUAGGCGGCUAUUUAAGUCAGUGGUGAAAGACUCCGGCUCAACCGGAGCAGUGCCAUUGAUACUGGAUAGCUUGAGUAUUGGAGGGGUACAUGGAAUUGAUGGUGUAGCGGUGAAAUGCAUAGAUACCAUCAGGAACACCGAUAGCGAAGGCAUUGUACUGGCCAAUAACUGACGCUGAUGCACGAAAGCAUGGGUAGCGAACAGGAUUAGAUACCCUGGUAGUCCAUGCCGU
rnacentral:rRNA from 1 species